CCUACGGGGGGCAGCAGUGAGGAAUAUUGGUCAAUGGACGAGAGUCUGAACCAGCCAAGUAGCGUGAAGGAUGACUGCCCUAUGGGUUGUAAACUUCUUUUAUAUGGGAAUAAAAUGUUCCACGUGUGGGAUUUUGUAUGUACCAUAUGAAUAAGGAUCGGCUAACUCCGUGCCAGCAGCCGCGGUAAUACGGAGGAUCCGAGCGUUAUCCGGAUUUAUUGGGUUUAAAGGGAGCGUAGGUGGAUUGUUAAGUCAGUUGUGAAAGUUUGCGGCACAACCGUAAAAUUGCAGUUGAAACUGGCAGUCUUGAGGACAGUAGAGGUGGGCGGAAUUCGUGGUGUAGCGGUGAAAUGCUGAGAUAUCACGAAGAACUCCGAUUGCGAAGGCAGUUCACUGGACUGCAACUGACACUGAGGCUCGAAAGUGUGGGUAUCAAACAGGAUUAGAUACCCCUGUAGUC
rnacentral:rRNA from 1 species